AGAGUUUGAUCCUGGCUCAGAAUGAACGUUGGCGGCGUGGAUUAGGCAUGCAAGUCGUGCGAGAAUCUUCCUUCGGGAAGUGGACAGCGGCGAAAGGGAGAGUAAUACGUAGAAAUCUACCUUCAAGCCCGGGAUAGCGUCGGGAAACUGGCGGUAAUACCGGAUAAUAUCUCCGGAUCAAAGGUGUGAUUCCGCUUGAAGAUGAGUCUACGUCCUAUUAGCUAGUUGGCGGGGUAAUGGCCCACCAAGGCAACGAUGGGUAGCGGGUGUGAGAGCAUGAUCCGCCUCACUGGGACUGAGACACUGCCCAGACACCUACGGGUGGCUGCAGUCGAGAAUCUUUGUCAAUGGACGAAAGUCUGAACAAGCGACGCCGCGUGCGGGAUGAAGGCCUUCGGGUUGUAAACCGCUGUCGUAGGGGAACAAAUGUAUGGGGGUUCUCUCCUUUACUUGAGUGAUCCUAGGAGGAAGGACGGGCUAAGUUCGUGCCAGCAGCCGCGGUAAGACGAACCGUCCAAACGUUAUUCGGUAUCACUGGGCUUAAAGAGUUCGUAGGCGGCCAUGCAGGUCAGGUGUGAAAUCCCACAGCUCAACUGUGGAACUGCGCUUGAAACCGCAUGGCUUGAGGGAGAUAGAGGUGAGCGGAACAGAUGGUGGAGCGGUGAAAUGCGUUGAUAUCAUCUGGAACACCGGUGGCGAA
rnacentral:rRNA from 1 species